UUGUGAUUCUCACCUUGCACUC
rnacentral:miRNA from 1 species